GUUUUGCAUGAUCACAGCUCCACACACUUUAAGAGUGCUGGUGUGAUCAACACUGGAGACUUCAGUCCUUUCAGACUCACUCACACACAGCACAAUGAUGACCACACUGAUUCUAUUGCUGACCACACUGACCUUCUUUCCUCAAGUUUCCCAUCAAGAGGUUCAGUCUCCUGAGUUUCUGUCUGCUGAAGCAGGAAAGAGUGUCUCCAUUAGCUGUACUGGAACUAGUGGAGUUGGUGAUGAUAUGAGUUGGUACCUGCAGAAACCUGGAGAAGCUCCUAAACUCCUGAUUUAUACAGCGAGCACACGUCAGUCUGGAGUCCCAGAACGAUUCAGUGGUUCAUAUUCAGGGCUUAACUUUCAAUUUACCAUCAGUGGAGUCCAGCCUGAGGAUGCAGGAGAUUAUUACUGUAUGGGAUUUUAUGUAGGAAGGUUCACACAGUAA